CCUACGGGAGGCAGCAGUAAGGAAUAUUGGACAAUGCUCGCAAGAGUGAUCCAGCCAUGCCGCGUGCAGGAAGAAUGCCCUAUGGGUAGUAAACUGCUUUUGAACUAGAGAAAACCCCAGUACGUGUACUGGGCUGAUAGUAUAGUUAGAAUAAGCAUCGGCUAACUUCGUGCCAGCAGCCGCGGUAAGACGAAGGAUGCAAGCGUUAUCCGGAUUCAUUGGGUUUAAAGGGAGCGUAGGUGGACUGAUAAGUCAGUGGUGAAAUCUCCGAGCUUAACUCGGAAAUUGCCAUUGAUACUGUUGGUCUUGAGUACAGUUGCUGUGGGCGGAAUAUGACAUGUAGUGGUGAAAUACAUAGAGAUGUCAUAGAACACCGAUUGCGAAGGCAGCUCACAAAGCUGUAACUGACACUGAGGCUCGAAAGUGCGGGGAUCAAACAGGAUUAGAUACCCCGGUAGUCCGCACCGUAAACGAUGAUUACUCGCUGCUAGGGGGCAACCUUUAGUGGCUUAGCGAAAGCGAUAAGUAAAUCACCUGGGGAGUACGCCGGNGAACGGUGAAACUCAAAGAUAAGUACGGAGNGAGAGAGCGACGGACGACGACGACGGAGGGAGGAG
rnacentral:rRNA from 1 species